UGAGAGAAACCCUGUCUUGGAAAAAGCUGAGAGAGGAAGAAGAGAGAGAGGAGGGGGAGGGGAGAGAAGCUGAGAGAAGCCUCCCUUGACUUUGAGGAGACUGAGUCACAUUCCAAAGGGAGUCAGAAGUCGGUGUAAGCAAAGCAGAACUGAAAACCGGGAGGGGCGUUCCAACGUGGUGAACAGCGACUUUGGGCACCAGCACUGGCUGUCCUGGAACACACUUUACAGACCAGGCUGGCUUCAAACUCAGAGAUGGACCUGCCUCUGCCUAGGAUCAAAGGCAUGUACCACGAUGCCCGGCUACACAUGCAAUUCUCAUCUUCAUUUUACAGAGGAGGCAUCAGAAGCACAGAAAGAUGGGAUAACGAACUGAUCACACAAUGCAAGCUUGCUCUGAGAGACACCAAGUCAUCAAAAGGGCUAGAGAGAUGCUGUGGUGGGUUAGAGGAUCCACUGCUCUUACGGGGACCUGAUUCAGUUCCAUCAACCGCCUCAGGUGGCACACAGCAGCCUGUAACCAGCUUCAGAGGUCUGACACUCUUAGCUUCCACGCUUGCACACACAGUGCUACCAAAAAGAGAAGAAAAGGAAGGAGAGCAUGUGGAACUAGAAAUAAGCUCCCCUGCUCUCUUAUUUUGAACCUAAAUAUCUUUCAGUCUCCCUAAUAUGCUUUCUUACACUAAGUUAUUAGUUUGAAAAGAGGCGCAUCUUUGAAACAAUUAGUCUUGACAAUUCUUUUAUUUUUUUUGAGACAGGGUUUUUUAAGUUCUGGCUGCCUGGAACUCUUCAUGUAGACUAGGCUGACCUUGAAUUCAUAGAGAUCCGCUUACUUCUGCUUCUCUAGUGCUCAAGGCUGUGGUGGCGCACGCCUUUAAUCCCAGCACUUGGGAGGCAGAGGCAGGCGGAUCUCUGUGAGUUCGAGGCCAGCCUGGUCUAUAAGAGCUAGUUCCAGGACAGCCUCCAAAGCCACAGAGAAACCUUGUCUCGAAAAACCAAAAGAAAAAAAAAACAAAAAAAAACCCAAAAAACAAAACAAAAAACCCAGCACUUAUGCUAAACUCUGUCUUUUUCAGUAGCAUUACACUGAAACAUUUUUAUAUCAUUAAAUAUUCUCCUACACUGUAAUUUUAAAUACCCCCAUGGCACUUGGUUAUGUGAAUAUAUAAUAAAUUACUUAACAAAUC